UUCCUCGUAGCUUUUUUCCUAACUUUUUUAUUAUAAAUGCAUGAGGGCUGCGGGGGUCGACUCUAGUAGUUUCUGCAUCGCAGAGGACAAGAUGAGUGCACUGCCUCAAUUUUCUUCAUUGUUACUUAUUUUAUAAUUGGCAACUACAUAAUGUACUUUUUUAUAAUUGUAUUUUUACUUAUUUUCUCGCUGCUGCAUUUGAGAACUAAGAGAACUGCUAAGAAUUUCUCGCAAGCUCAAAACAGCUGCACGUACUAACUGCAAGAGAAGAAUCUGCACUAUAGAACCGUCUUGAAGAACAAACCCAACAGAUCAGUGGUAAUAUGAAAACUGCUCUAAAUCAGCAACAAAAAAUUCAAACAAUCAUGCAAGUAAUCGCCCGUGUCCCCUAAUCAUCGUAGAAAACUGUAGCUCCUCGUCACCAGCUACCCAAAUAGGAGGCGGCAAACUGCAAACUCCACGCACUGGACCGCACUAAAAGUGCAUGUACUUGUGCACUAAACUACAAAACAACCACACGCAAUGCUAUAUGUCUGAAUUCUGCACUGACAGAGUGAGUCUCUGAACUUCACCGGGACCUCCCUGCUGAAGGGCGUGAAGCUCCAGAUCCCUGAAGAUAAAAAUAAGUCAUGAUGUCAAGAACAUGCAAAUAAGAAUCUCAACCUCCAUGUGGAUCAAUAAUCUGAAAAAAUAAACUGCACUUGACUUUUGAAACGGCACACACACCGACAGCACUGCAUCUGGAGGCGCACUGCACAGCUAGCAUAUGACGGUCUACAGCUAUCACUCCCGCUGUUGACUGCAUGUGUCGGGCAGCAGAACUGCACGACGAUGGCCACUCGAGAGAGGUGGAGCUACUAGCCGGUGAUGCCCCUGUUCUUGCCUGAUCUGCCCUGCAGUCUGGACGGCAUCGAGGUGGACUAGGAGCUGUGCAAGAGCACUACCUAAAUUGCAUGGCAGCGCCACCGGUGGGAUGCCUGCAGCAAAAAACAGUGAAAACGCACGCACAAAAACAAUGAAAUCGGGGAGCCGCGGGUGAAGUUGUUGAUCCCUGUGGGAAGGUGCUCGUCACAGCUGUCGGGGCUGCCCACCCAAGUGAAGAUGGUGCUCGUCGUUGAGCCACCAGGAGCCUGACGGUGGGGGAACACACACGCGGCUGGUCCACGGAUCCCGUGGCUACUGGCGCCGUGGAGGUCAGAUCCGACGGUCACCGGCCUCGACGGCAACUGAAGAUUCUGGCGACCAGCAGNN
rnacentral:lncRNA from 1 species